CUGGGUUUUUGGGCUCUGCCCGCCACCCGCCCUCUGUUAUUUAGUGACCGUUGUUUCGGCCAGCGGGGCGACCCGCGGCCGGCAGUAACCCUGAAGCAUCUUUGAAGUCUGAUAUUUUGUCAAUGAAAAA
rnacentral:misc_RNA from 1 species